AUGAUAAUGAUGGUAACAGUGGUACUGGUGGUACCACCACAGAGUGAUGGUGGUGAUGACAAGGAUGGUGGUGAUGGUGAUGGUGGUAAUGGUGGUGGUGAUUAUGAUGGUGGUGGUGUUGGUGAUGGUAGUGAUAGUGAUGGUGGUGAUGGUGAUGGUGAUAAGGAUGGUGGCAAUGGUGGUAAUGGUGGUGGUGAUUAUGAUGGUGGUGGUGUUGGUGAUGGUAGUGAUAGUGAUGGUGGUAGUGAUUAUGAUGGUGGUGGUGUUGGUGAUGGUAGUGAUAGUGAUGGUGGUGAUGGUGAUGGUGAUAAGGAUGGUGGCGAUGGUGGUAAUGGUGGUGGUGAUUAUGAUGGUGGUGGUGUUGGUGAUGGUAGUGAUAGUGAUGGUGGUGAUGGUGAUGGUGAUAAGGAUGGUGGCGAUGGUGGUAAUGGUGGUGGUGAUUAUGAUGGUGGUGGUGUUGGUGAUGGUAGUGAUAGUGAUGGUGGUAGUGAUUAUGAUGGUGGUGGUGUUGGUGAUGGUAGUGAUAGUGAUGGUGGUGAUGGUGAUGGUGAUAAGGAUGGUGGCGAUGGUGGUAAUGGUGGUGGUGAUUAUGAUGGUGGUGGUGUUGGUGAUGGUAGUGAUAGUGAUGGUGGUGAUGGUGAUGGUGAUAAGGAUGGUGGCGAUGGUGGUAAUGGUGGUGGUGAUUAUGAUGGUGGUGUUGGUGAUGGUAGUGAUAGUGAUGGUGGUGAUGGUGUUGGUGGUGGUGAUAAGGAUGGUGGUGAUGGUGGUAAUGGUGGUGAUUAUGAUGAUGGUGGUGAUGGUGAUGGUAGUGAUAGUGAUGGUGGUGGUGUUGGUGGUGGUGGUAAUGGUGGUGGUGGUGAUGGUAGUGAUAAUGAUAGUGUUGGUGAUGAUGAUGGUGGAGGUGAUAGUGAUGGUGGUGAUGAUGGUGGUGGUGAUAGUGAUGGUGGUGAUGAUUAUGGUGGUGGUGAUAGUGAUGGUGGUGGUGGUGGUGAUAGUGAUGGUGGUGAUGAUGGUGGUGGUGAUAGUGAUGGUGGUGAUGGUGGUAGGGACGGUGGUGGUGGUGACAGUGUUGGUGGUAAUGGUGGUGGUGGUGAUAGUGAUGGUGGUGGUGAUAGUGAUGGUGGUGAUGGUGGUGGUGAUAGUGAUGGUGGUGAUGAUUAUGGUGUUGGUGAUAGUGAUGGUGGUGAUGAUGGUGGUGAUGGUGGUAGGGAUGGUGGUGGUGGUGACAGUGUUUGUGGCAAUAGUGGUGGUGGUGAUAGUGGUGGUGAUGAUGGUGGUGGUGGUGAAGUGAUGGUGGUGAUAGUGAUGGUGGUGGUGAUAGUGGUGGUGGUGAUAGUGAUGGUGGUGGUGAUAGUGGUGAUGGUGAUAGUGAUGGUGGUGAUAGUGAUGGUGGUGAUGGUGGUGGUGAGUGAUGGUGGUGAUGAUGGUGGUGGUGGUGACAGUGAUGGUAAUGAUGGUGGUGGUGAAGUGAUGGUGGUGAUAGUGAUGGUGGUGGUGAUAGUGGUGGUGGUGAUAGUGAUGGUGGUGAUAGUGAUGGUGAUGGUGGUGGUGAGUGAUGGUGGUGAUGAUGGUGGUGGUGGUGACAGUGAUGGUAAUGAUGGCGGUGGUGAAGUGAUGGUGGUGAUAGUGAUGGUGGUGGUGAUAGUGGUGGUGGUGAUAGUGAUGGUGGUGGUGAUAGUGGUGGUGUGGUGA
rnacentral:lncRNA from 1 species